ensembl:snoRNA
CACCUCUGGUUCCCUUUCCCAUGGGAUCUGAACACCUGUCCUGGUGGUCGUAAAAGGAUGACUAGUUAUACGGAAGCUGUCCUCAGGAGGCCUGUAGUCUGCUUUAGAGCGUGUGGGCUAGUUUCAAACAAGG